GACGAACGCUGGCGGCGUGCUUAACACAUGCAAGUCGAGCGGUAAGGCCCUUUCGGGGGUACACGAGCGGCGAACGGGUGAGUAACACGUGGGUGACCUGCCUUUAGCUCUGGGAUAAGCCUGGGAAACUGGGUCUAAUACCGGAUAUGACCCUAUGGCGCAUGUUGUGGGGUGGAAAGCCUUGUGCGGCUAGGGAUGGGCCCGCGGCCUAUCAGCUUGUUGGUGGGGUGAUGGCCUACCAAGGCGACGACGGGUAGCCGGCCUGAGAGGGCGACCGGCCACACUGGGACUGAGACACGGCCCAGACUCCUACGGGAGGCAGCAGUGGGGAAUCUUGCGCAAUGGGCGAAAGCCUGACGCAGCGACGCCGCGUGAGGGAUGACGGCCUGGUGUAACU
rnacentral:rRNA from 1 species